AUACAGUACCAGUCAAAAGUUUGGACAUGCUUUCCCAUUCAAGUGAAUGAGAAAGCGUCUCCAAACUUUGUGAUGCUGCUAUGUUUCUUAAU